AUUUGUUGGAUCUUGCAUGGAUAUGCUGUGCUGCAUUUUAUGUUUUUUUAAUCAUCUUAUCAUGAACUAACAAUAUAGCAAGGGAAAUGGUACGUGUCGUCGGGCGGGUGUCGGCCGGUGGAUCUUCAAAAGAUGCGCCGCUUGCGCAGCCAUUUGAUUGAUCUGGGGCUAUUCGAUGGUUCGUGUCUUUUCCUCACCAAUGCAACAAAGGUUGCUUGGACAUGGGCUGAGCUAAAGAGGAGCGUUGUGUCUUCUCCCAGCGCGCAGAGCGCAAUAUAAGAGGUUCCUACUGCAUGGGUUGGCCAAGACUGGGAUUUCUUCUGCGAAACAUUUUUUUAUUACUUAUAGAUGACAUCGGAUAAUAUUUUACAACUUUAGAUUGCCGUAAGAAGCUCUAAUGAUUUUAUUAUUAGGUAUAGAUUAUUGUAUUUGAUGGCUAUAAAAUUGGUAUAGAUGAUGUGGUAAAAUCAUGUACUAAAAAUUCUGCACAUAGAGUUAUACUAAAA